rnacentral:rRNA from 1 species
AUUAGGCUUAUCAUAGAAGUCUGGCAUGAUUGGGUUAAUGAUUUUUUAACUAUCUAGUUUAUAUGAAGAAUUUUAUAGCUAAGUCAAAAAGCUUAACUUUUUAGAGGGACGAUAAGACCCUAUAAAGCUUCAUCUAAAAGUAUUUUUAAGGAAGGAAAAAAGACAGGAGGAUUGGGCUGGGGCGGCUAUUAAGAUUCUUUGAUUUAAGUAACAAGAUUUAUGAAACCAAAGAUCUCUAAAGAGUUAGAAUAAGCUACUUUAGGGAUAACAGCGCAAUUUUCUUAUAGAGAUCUUAUUGAUAAGAAAGACUUGUGACCUCGAUGUUGAAUUGAGGGGCCUAAAUUAAGCAGGCAUAAUUUUAGGAAGUCUGUUCGACUUUUAAUUCCUCA